UGGGGAAUCUUGGACAAUGGGCGAAAGCCUGAUCCAGCCAUGCCGCGUGAAUGAUGAAGGCCUUAGGGUUGUAAAAUUCUUUCACCGGAGAAGAUAAUGACGGUAUCCGGAGAAGAAGCCCCGGCUAACUUCGUGCCAGCAGCCGCGGUAAUACGAAGGGGGCUAGCGUUGUUCGGAAUUACUGGGCGUAAAGCGCACGUAGGCGGACCACCAAGUUGGAGGUGAAAUCCCGAAGCUCAACUUCGGAACUGCCUUCAAAACUGUUGGUCUAGAGGUCAGGAGAGGCGAGUGGAAUUCCGAGUGUAGAGGUGAAAUUCGUAGAUAUUCGGAGGAACACCAGUGGCGAAGGCGACUCGCUGGACUGAUACUGACGCUGAGGUGCGAAAGUGUGGGGAGCAAACAGGAUUAGAUACCCGUGUAGUCC
rnacentral:rRNA from 1 species